rnacentral:rRNA from 1 species
UACAUAGGGGGCGAGCGUUAUCCGGAAUUAUUGGGCGUAAAGGGUACGUAGGCGGGCCUGCAAGUCUGAUUUGAAAGCACACAGCUUAACCGUGUGAGGUAAUUAGAAACUACGAGUCUAGAGAGUGGUAGAGGUAAAUGGAAUUCCAAGUGGAGCGGUGAAAUGCGUAGAGAUUUGGAGGAACACCAGUGGCGAAGGCGGUUUACUGGGCCACAUCUGACGCUGAUGUACGAAAGCGUGGGGAGCAAACAGGAUUAGAUACCCCCGUAGUCCCUGA